rnacentral:rRNA from 1 species
GGUUUUUUGAAUAAUAAUUUAAGAUUAGUUCUGCUCAAUGAUGUAAAUUAAAUAGCCGCAGUAUUUUGACUGUGCAAAGGUAGCAUAAUCAAUUGUUUUUUAAUUGAGAACUAGAAUGAAGGAAUUGAUGAAAUUAAGACUAUCUAUUAUAGAAAAUUAAAAUUUAAAUUUUAAGUAAUAAUUCUUAAAUAAGAUUAUGGGACGAGAAGACCCUAUAGAAUUUGAUAUAAUUUUUUAAAAUAAGUAUAUAAUAAAUUUAAUAAAAUUAAUAUUUUAUUGGGAGGAUAAUUAAAUUAAAUUAACUUUAAAUUUAAAAUUAAACAUUAAUUUAUGGAAAAAUUGAGUAAUUUUUUAAUAAAUAUAAUAAAAUUAAUAGAAAAUUAAUUACCUUAGGGAUAACAGCGUAAUAUUUUUAAAAAGAUCAUAUUAAUAAAAAUGUUUGCGACCUCGAUGUUGAAUUAAAAUAAAAAUUAAAUGGAGAAGUUUAAUAUUUUAGUCUGUUCGACUAUUAAAAUUUUA